AUUUCUCUUUACAAAAGCCAUGUUAACUCAUUGCCAACAUAUCAUGUUUAUGUAUAUGUCUGAUAAUUCUGUUCUUCACUAUAGUUUCAACCAAUUUGCUGGUACUGAAGUUAGGCUUAUUGGCCUGUAAUUGCCAGGAUCACCUCUUUUUAAAACUUGGCAUUUAGAUUAGC